rnacentral:tRNA from 1 species
CGGGGUGUGGCUCAGUGGCAGACAGCUUGCCUUCUAUGCAUAAGGCACUGGGCUCAAUCCUCAGCACCACGU